UUGUACAUAAAUAGGUGGUAGUCUUUUAAACAAAGAAUGGGAUCAUGCUGUGCCUUACACAAUAGAUAACAUUCCAUGUCAGUCUAGUUUUAAGUUUUAAGUCGACAUAAAAAUUAAUGAAGUACUAUCUCGAAUAGAUGAAGGGAAAAGAAGAAUGGACUGUACGGGUACAGUUCUAUGGAUUUUAGUACUUGUGUGACCACUGCCACAAUCAGGAAGUAUUCUAUUCUGAAACUUUAUCACUAGUAAUACUAGUGAAUAAUAGUAAUGCUGUUACUCAGCUUGAUUAAUGUUCAUUUGUAUUUAUUUCACAACAGACACAUUUUUGUAUUUGGUUGGGUAAUCAGUUCAGUUUUAUGCUCAACUGAAUGUGAUACGAUUUGGUAGUGCUUGUUACUUCACUAUAUAAACAUAAAAGUGCCACAUAUACAUAAAAGCACACCUUAUUGUAUAACCGUGGAACAGUACUGAUAAUUGACUUAUUGUUAAGAAUUUUUGUUUAUAGAAUUACAGUUUUAUCUUGGCAUUGCCUUUUCUAUAAAGCUGGUACUGUAACUUUUGGGUAAUUAGAAGCUAAUGCUUCUAAUACUUUAAAUAUUUGGCAAAGUUAAUGGGGAUACUUAAUGGUAUGAAUAUGAUGAAUGACAGUUGAAAGAAAUUACAGGAGGUGUCUCUACAACUUUCUGCUCCUUUAAAUUUAUUAUUCUAUGUGUUUCAGAUUUCAUGUUUCGAGUGCUUGCAAAGAAUCUCAAGUAUAUGUACAUGCUCUAUCUGAUGCUCGAUGUGUGUUUGACAUGGCUGGAGAAAUUGGCUUUACGAUGAACAUGUU
rnacentral:sRNA from 1 species